CUCGGGGGUGCCCUGACCGUCACUUUCGCAUGUUGAAGAGCGGCGGCGGAACGGGCUGAGAUUAUACCCAUUGACCUGAUACAGUUAAUGCUGUCGUAGGAAAUGAGAAUAA
rnacentral:ncRNA from 1 species